UGGGGAAUAUUGCACAAUGGGCGAAAGCCUGAUGCAGCGACGCCGCGUGAGUGAAGAAGGCCUUCGGGUCGUAAAACUCUGUCCUUGGUGAAGAAAAAAAUGACGGUAGCCAAGGAGGAAGCCCCGGCUAACUACGUGCCAGCAGCCGCGGUAAUACGUAGGGGGCGAGCGUUGUCCGGAUUUACUGGGCGUAAAGGGUGAGUAGGCGGUUGUCUAAGUCAGAUGUAAAAGGCACAGGCUUAACUUGUGUAAGCAUUUGAAACUGUACAACUGGAGUGCAGGAGAGGUAAGUGGAAUUCCUAGUGUAGCGGUGAAAUGCGUAGAUAUUAGGAGGAACACCAGUGGCGAAGGCGACGUACUGGACUGUAACUGACGCUGAGUCACGAAAGCGU
rnacentral:rRNA from 1 species